GCUCCUCGUGGUCCGCAGCUGCCUGGGUGCCACUUAAAGGCCGUAAACAACUGCAGGGGUUGGAUUUCACGGGUUUUGCAAAGUCAGGGAUAUUCAGGCCACUGGUGAUGGGAGCCGUGUUUAUCCCCGGCACAUAAGUGCUCUUAAAAGGGAGUAAGAUCUCAAGUGGCAGCUGGAAUUUUUGUAUGUUCAGGCUUGGAAGCCCUCAGCUGCAGAGAAAGAAUGGAAAAUGAAAGGAAAAAGACCAGAAAAUGAUUAAUUGGUGUAUGAGGUUAUGGGUUUGGGGUGUGGUGUUUUGUUUGGGGUUUUGUUUGUUUUGUUUGGGGAUUUGUUUCUUUGUUUUUUGUUUGUUUGCUUUUCUUUUUGAGAGAUCGUGAGAAAGGAAGAAGAAUUGGGGGGGAAAAAAGGAUUUGAAUGCAGUUUGUGGUGAAUAAUUGCAGCAGGAUCCAACACACACAUGGUUCUGCAAGUGAAUGCCUACCCUUGUAUGUGUUCUAACAAGUUCUGGGUGUGAAUGCCUUCCCCAUGUAUGUGUCCUAAUGUGGCACAAAAUGUUAUCAUUUCAUGCAUUUCUAACAAAUAUUCAAAACUUGAUCAUAACUUUGUUAGAACUGGGAAAAUCCUCUGCCCUCCCACCCCUCAAGGGUGUUGUCUACCCACAUGUGGCUGUGCUGUCAGUUUUAAUUUAUGGUCAUUUCUUAUUGACUCCAAACAAAGCGGUGUAAGAGCACAAAAUGUGUCUACAUUCAGUGUCCAAGGGGUCGUUUUCUGCACCCAGCACUGCUGUGUCUCAUCAUGAGAGAUGAGGACGUUAUACUACUCCACUCAUAAAGGGAAAUCGAGGAGUUAGUGAAAACUUUGUAGGGAUCACAUUUCCCAAGCAAUCUCACUUUCCAGGGUAGGUUGUCCACAUGUUCAAGUGCUGCUUCCAAUGAACAGGGAUGGGCUGUUCUCACUCCAUUAGGCUUCUGUUCAACUACUGCUGUCUUUUUGCCUUAGUUAGUUUUCACCUCUAUUUUUAUCUAAGUUACUCAUUGGCAAAGAUUGGGCUUCAUAAGUUUGCAAAGUGAAAGAUUUUUACAAGGUUAAGAAAAAAAAAAAAAAAGAGAGAGAGAGAUGCCUGAAAAUACCGCAAAAUUCAUCCCUCUUGACUCUGCUUUUUAUUUAAUGCCUAGAUGAAAAUAUUACCUCCUGAGUCUCCGUGUGUGUGGCUGAGUCCCCGGGACACCUGCCAAGACACGGAUUUUAGAUGCCCGAAAUCAUGUGCUCAGCAGGUGUAAAUUGUGUGCAGGGAGAGUUCACCUUUUGUCCUGAACCCCAGAGGCAGUUUCUCUUCAUUAGCAAGGGAAGAUGGGGAAGAAGAUUAUCCUCGUUUCCUGACUGCAUGCCAAAGUUAUGUAUCAUAAGGAGAAAAUCUGUUCCUACAUUCACAAGUAUGUUUGCUCCUAAUCUGUCUUCAGGAAAGCGUCUUUGUGAGGAGCAAGGGGUGCCGGUGAUCGCAGGAGAGCCGAGACGGAGGGACGGGAACAGACGCAGAAUUUCUCUGCCGAGACUUUUUCCAGCGGGUUGCACGAAUGAGAGAUUACAUUCAGCAAACGCACUGCAAAAGGCUCUUUGGAAUUUGUGCUGUAUUAUGUUUUAUUCUGAGACAAUGACAGACCAAAACCAGUCCUGGUGGAUAUUUUUAAAUGCCCGGCUUAUUCCGUGACCUGUUAAAAUCGAGUUGAUGUGCGUGUGCUCCACUCAGCGGAGAACUCGCCGGAGAUGGAGCAAUUCCUCUGCACUCUGGAAGAAGAGACAAGAGCAUGCUCUGGAAGCCUUUAUGAGGAGGCUUUUAGGAGCCAUUUUGAAAAGCCAGUUGUUAUCCUGCGGUGUUUUGGAAGUCUGGACUGGACCUCCCAGGUGAUAUUAGGACAAGGGCUGACACAACACCCAUUUUAUGCCAGGAGGCUGCACGGCCUCAGUCCCGCCGCGUGACACGGGAACACGUGUCCGUGCCAGCAGGGAGGGAAUGAGCCAUGUGCACUGGCCACACCCCAGCUGCAGCAGCUGAAUGUAGGGUGUGUGAGGCUGCACGUGCCCUGCAGGUGCCCUGGAGCUGCAGCAUCCUCCUUGGAGCUACACGCUGGAGCACCUCCAGGUGCUGUUGGUGGCACAGGAAGCACAGGAAGACACAGUGUUGAGGCUCAGCCAGAAGCAUCAACAUGGGGAUUCUUAAUCAACUGAACUGAUCCUAUGAAUUUUUCAGCAGUUCUGAGGCUCUGGACCACCCUCUCUAAUACUGCAGGUCUCAGUUCUCUCCUCUGCGCAUCACUCUCCUACUCACAGUGAGUUUUAAGGGAAGCCAAGUGCAAGCCUGGGUCAUGCAGCUUGGGAAAGGGUUUCCAGAGCAUGUUCUAGAGUGACAUUUGGUCCCCAGGGAGGCCUGUGAGUUGCCAAACUCCUCCUGGUUGACAGAGUUCCCUGCACUACGUCAGCCAACACCCCCAGAUGUUCUGAGCAGAUGCAAAACAUGCUCUAAUGGACAUGAGGAACUGUUCUCUGAGUUAGUUACUAACUGCAAGUGCAAGGACGGGUUUCACUUCUGCUCUGGGAACAAGUGGGACUUGCCAAUAGUGCAAAGUGUGUCACUGUGGUGACCCUCUGUGCAGUAAUUCUCUAAGGAGUGGCAGUUCCAUGGAAACAUCGUGUUCUGCUGUGCCCUGACCUGCCCCAGAGAGCUGAGGGGCUGGCUCAGUGGUGGCCUUGGCAGCGCUGUGAGUGAACCUUUGGACUGGAUGAUCUCAGAGGGCUUUUCCAGCCUAAACCAUGCUGUGAUUCCAUGACUCUCUGAGGACACGCAGCUGUUUCCCACGUGGCUGUGCACAGAUGUUGCCAGGUGUCCCCUGCCAGCUGGACCCUGGCAGAGCCUCUGCUCACCAGGAAUGAGAGGAAGUGACAGAAUAAAAGUAGGGGCAAACCAGUUGGUCAGUGAUUUCCGUUCACCUCCUCUUGGCUAACUGCCAGACACAGUAAAUAGGGAAUUAGGGGCUUCUCAAUAGGAAUAUUUUUUUGUGGAGGUGCGUGGGGAUUUCUGGUCCUGGGCUUGUCUGGGAACACAUUUUUUCCAUGCUGACUGUUGAAGUCAUGAGCAAUAACCUAAAUUACAGUUUUUACUUGAAGUUUUUACGAUGUCACCUUCUGGCAGAGGAAGUUAAGAAGGAAAGGGAACUAUGACGUGUGGUUACGUUGUGGUGUUCAUGUGUGUCAGACAGGAGAUUGGAACAGCACCUGUAGUGCCAGAUUGCUGUUGGCUGAAGAAGAAAACAUCCUCCCUUUCCAGAGGUGGUUGGAGGUGGGUGUUCCUCCUUCCUGGGCUGUGUCCUCAGGCACAGCUCUUCUCUUUGUACGUAAGUCUUAAUGUUCCCUUGACGUGAAACACUGGGUGCUGCUGUUCCUUGAACUCUUUGGCUCGUGUGUGACCAUUGGUGGGAGCGUGUCCCGGGCAAACUGAGCGUCAGGAGUGAGCAUCGUUUAUUUUGGGACACGUGGCACCACAUCACAGCGUGAGCAGUGCCACUCUGCUGCUGUCCCAUCCCCACACACGGGUACAGCGUGCUGGAGUGGCUCCACAUCACCUGGAAAACCAUGGACACUGUGAUUCCCUCAUUGGUACAUCAGCUGAGCCUCUGAGCCCUUAACCAGCAGCCUCCUCUGGCAAAGUCCUUCCAGUACAGAAAACAAACAAAGCACACACUUGUGACAUGGCCUGGACGCUUUAAAUGUAAAGAAAGAUCGUAGAAUCACUUAGGUUGGGAAAGACCUUUAAUAUCAAGUCCAGCUGCAUUGCUAGGUGUAAGGAUUUUUGGAAGCCUCCACCUGAAAUCUCCCUGAGUUACUCAAGGAAUAACAUUAGUUAUUAAAUUAAAUCCCUCCCCCUGAGUUACUCAAGGAAUAACAUUAGUUUACCCCCGAGAAGAUAGAAACAGAAUGCUUAGUGGGGAAAAAAAAAAAAAAAAAAAAGUUUUCAAAGAAUGUACUGAGAAAAAAACUUUUCAAAGAAUAUACUGAGAAAAAAAAGUUUUCAAAGAAUGUACUGAGAAAAAAAGUUUUCAAAGAAUGUACUGAGAAAAAAACAGUUUUCAAAGAAUGUGGUGAGAGAAAAGGUUUUCUAACAAUAUGCUACGUGGAAAAAGUUUUCAAACAAUAUGCUGAGAAAUUAUAUAAUAAAUUAAAAACGAUUACUGAAAUCUCAUGUCUUUGAGGGGUGA